rnacentral:rRNA from 1 species
UACGGAGGGGGGCUAGCGUUGUCCGAAGUUACUGGGCGUAAAGCGCGCGUAGGCGGGUUGGUAAGUCCGCUGUGAAAGCCCGGAGCUUAACUCCGGAGGGUCGGUGGAUACUGCCAGUCUUGAAGGUGCUAGGGGGAGAUGGAAUUACCGGUGUAGCGGUGAAAUGCGUAGAUAUCGGUAGGAACACCAGUGGCGAAGGCGGUCUCCUGGGGCAUUCUUGACGCUGAGGCGCGAAAGCUGGGGGAGCAAACGGG